rnacentral:rRNA from 1 species
AGAGUUUGAUCAUGGCUCAGAUUGAACGCUGGCGGCAGGCCUAACACAUGCAAGUCGAACGGUAACAUUUCUAGCUUGCUAGAAGAUGACGAGUGGCGGACGGGUGAGUAAUGCUUGGGAACUUGCCUUUGCGAGGGGGAUAACAGUUGGAAACGACUGCUAAUACCGCAUAACGUCUUCGGACCAAACGGGGCUUCGGCUCCGGCGCAAAGAGAGGCCCAAGUGAGAUUAGCUAGUUGGUAAGGUAACGGCUUACCAAGGCGACGAUCUCUAGCUGUUCUGAGAGGAAGAUCAGCCACACUGGGACUGAGACACGGCCCAGACUCCUAUGGGAGGCAGCAGUGGGGAAUAUUGCACAAUGGGGGAAACCCUGAUGCAGCCAUGCCGCGUGUGUGAAGAAGGCCUUCGGGUUGUAAAGCACUUUCAGUUGCGAGGAAAAGUUAGUAGUUAAUACCUGCUAGCCGUGACGUUAACAACAGAAGAAGCACCGGCUAACUCCGUGCCAGCAGCCGCGGUAAUACGGAGGGUGCGAGCGUUAAUCGGAAUUACUGGGCGUAAAGCGCACGCAGGCGGUUUGUUAAGCUAGAUGUGAAAGCCCCGGGCUCAACCUGGGAUGGUCAUUUAGAACUGGCAGACUAGAGUCUUGGAGAGGGGAGUGGAAUUCCAGGUGUAGCGGUGAAAUGCGUAGAUAUCUGGAGGAACAUCAGUGGCGAAGGCGACUCCCUGGCCAAAGACUGGCGCUCAUGUGCGAAAGUGUGGGUAGCGAACAGGAUUAGAUACCCUGGUAGUCCACACCGUAAACGCUGUCUACUAGCUGUGUG